GACGAACGCUGGCGGCGUGCUUAACACAUGCAAGUCGAACGAAGAGCGAUAGAAGCUUGCUUCUAUCAAUCUUAGUGGCGAACGGGUGAGUAACGCGUAAUCAACCUGCCCUUCAGAGGGGGACAACAGUUGGAAACGACUGCUAAUACCGCAUACGAUCUAAUCUCGGCAUCGAGGAUAGAUGAAAGGUGGCCUCUACAUGUAAGCUAUCACUGAAGGAGGGGAUUGCGUCUGAUUAGCUAGUUGGAGGGGUAACGGCCCACCAAGGCGAUGAUCAGUAGCCGGUCUGAGAGGAUGAACGGCCACAUUGGGACUGAGACACGGCCCAGACUCCUACGGGAGGCAGCAGUGGGGAAUCUUCCGCAAUAGACGAAAGUCUGACGGAGCAACGCCGCGUGAGCGAUGACGGCCUUCGGGUUGUAAAGCUCUGUUAAUCGGGACGAAAGGCCUUCUUGCGAAUAGUGAGAAGGAUUGACGGUACCGGAAUAGAAAGCCACGGCUAACUACGUG
rnacentral:rRNA from 1 species